UUUAUAAGAGAAAUAAUCGAAGAACGAUCUCGUACAACAUUCUCCCGUACUUAUACGAAUCAAUACAAAUUUAAUGAUGGUAGGUAUAUACAAAGAGAAAAGAAAAAAGUAAAAGCCCUAAUUUCUGGACCAUUUCUGAGUUUGCGAACAGCCGAAUUUUCACCUUCCAUGAAAAAUCUCCAUCUCCCGAAGGUAAUCUUAUUCGUUGUUUCCAUUUCAAUCUUUUCCUGCCGAUUUGGGUUAGCGAUAUCGUCGAUUUGGGUUUCUUAUGUUUCUGCCUUGAUUCGAUUGUUAGUCUCUCUCGUUAUCAUCAGCAAGACGAACGCGUAUUAAUCAGCGUUUCGGUAUUGUUUGCAUCUCUGCCUUUAGGAUGGUAAUCUCUUUGAAUCGGCUGACUAAGACAGCUUUAUCUGCUAUCGAGUAUGUUCCUUUCGAGGCAGAUUUGUGGAAGUUUGAAUUAUUGGUCAAGGAGCAGUUAUUCAAAUAUUGGAAUGUCUUCUAGCAAUUCAAUCGAAUUCCUUAUUAAGUGGUGGAUGGAGAAGUUUUUGCGUGGGUAUGAGAGUAAUAAUUAGGGAGAUCGAGGAAGUAUGAGACUAUGCAUAGGUGCUCUGAGAUUUAACUAUGUUAUCCCCAAAAGUUAACUGCUGGAGUUUGAUAGAGUUUAUUUUGCUGGGUGUCAUCUGAUCCAAUCUCGAGGCGUGGACCAUCUAAACUUUUGUAGUUAAAUUUUUAACACAAGAACUUCAUAGGGCAUGCAGGAUUUAAGAUUUGGAUUCGGGUAUUAUUAUAUUUUUCACAAUUAAAGCUUGCUGCAUCGCUACUUGGCUUCAGUUUAAUUGAUUAUUUUGACUCGAUGUCGGUGUAAGCUAUCUUGUAUGUUGAAUCCUUUCGUGGAUUACUGAUGUAUUAGUAUCCAUACAGUGCAGAAUUUGAAAGUGAUGCCUGAGAUUUUAGUGAGAAUUCUGCGUUGGAUUAAAGUGAUAAUAGAUGAAGAAAAUUUAUCUAGACACUGAGAUAUUGGAAGAAUGAUGGCCGUACCAGAAAGUGAAGAGGUUGGUUUUAAGCACAUUGGGUUGUCAGGUAGUGAUUAUGAUGCAAGUCUCCCUAGCAAGAAAAGGAGAUUCCCGGUUAUACAGCCUCCUCCGUUUCCAUCUAAAGAUAUAUCUCCAGAUGGGAAUUUAACGAAGACUGAACAGCUCUCUCCACCUAAAGGCCUAUCUUUGUUUCAUACCAAUGAAGAUUUAAUGAAGAGUGAACGGCCAAGUCUAUCUGUGACAAUAGUUUCAAGUUCUAGUGAAAUCACAAGUCCUAGGUUGUCCAACAAGAACCAGGAUUGUGUUUGUAACGAGAACGAAGGAAAAUCUGAUAGUAUCCAUGUUAUGGGGCUUUAGUCCAGAAUGAUAUUGGAAUAACAGGAGUGAAGUUUCAGGAACCCAGUUUGGGAGGGCGUGCUUGUUUUCAUGGUUAUGUUGAACGUGAACACAAGUCCUUGAUAACCGAAAAACACACAGUUCAUGCAUUAACAGAAAUCCGUGUGGGGCUGGAGUUAUCAUCAACUAACCUCAACUCUUACCUUCUUGCUGCUAACAAUGAGGAAGAAAUUGAUGUAAAAGUUGAAUAUGGAGGUAUCAGUAGGUUUCAAGGAACAUAUGAAUCUGAAACUGAUUCCUGAAAAGAGUGAUUUGAAUUUCCUGAAGCAUAAUUCUUUGGAACCUGUGUUACUGGACGUGUCUUUAAACAAACAAGGAAGUAACACCCAUUGUACUGUGGGGUUUGAUUAUGAUGGUUCUCUUCAACAGUCAAUUAGGGAGAAUUGGGAUCUGAAUACCUCAAUGGAGUUUUUGGGAAGGCUGUGCAAGUGAUGACUGUCGAGUGCAGCUUCCAGUUGUUCAUGCAGACACAAUUGUCUCUACAUGUAGAUGCUUAACUGAAAUGGUGAUAACUGAUAUUCCGUCAGGAAACCUAACCCCUUCGGAUCAGGGUGAUCAUCUUCAUCUAAGUCUUAGUUCAUCUAAUCUUAGGUAUGUAUUGCGUCAAGAACAAAGUCCAUUCGCUAUGUUAGACAUUAGGAAAUCAAAUCAUUUUUAUGCUUACCAGGCAGAGGUAUGCAGUUUGAUGAUCUUAAUGGUGCACUAAAAGUUGUUAAGCCAGAACCAUUUGCCGAGGGCUCCAAACUUGAGUUUAGAAGUGAUAAAGAUAAUGGACUGGGACUAUCAGAUGGUGCUGCAAUGAAGCAUGAAUUAGAUGAUCAAUACAGUCUUGAAAUUCCCAACACGUUAGUAGUCCAAUGAACAUAGUUAAGGCUAAAUCUGAAUCAGUUUAUGUAAGCAAACAGAGAGCACUCGAGGCAUUAGGUCGAUCUAGCUUUGCCAAAUGUUAAGUCGUUAAAAAUGAUGAUGCGACCGAUGACUCAUCGCAGCCAGCGGAGAUAGCCAGUUGGUUAAUCCGUGACAAGCUUCUUCAUCUCCUAGUGAAACAAGAUCUAAUUUAGCGAGGUCGGUUUUUACACAAUCUGAUAGGGGAAACAAAUACCCGACAUGGCGCAUGAAGGGGGAAAAGUACAAUCUCAAGGAAGGUGAUUAUUUCUUAACUGCACUAAAAUUGCACUGAUUACUCUCUGCAUUGCUGAUUUCUUUUCAUUUUCUAGAGAUGGUCCAUACAGUGACUUUUCCCAGAAAUUUUAUGUGAAUAGACGUAAGAAUCUAUCAGCCCGAACGAAUUUUACUCGGUAGAAGAGGUAGAUUCAUUAUUAGGAUAAACCAAGGUGACUGGAUUUUAAUCCAGAAGUUCACAAUGAUCAAAUUCUACCAUUUGAUGCCUGUAGAAGUAAACACGGUUAAACUAAACCCGAGGGUCCAUUUUGUAGUGCUGGUCAACGGAGUAGACAAAUAUUAGAUGAUGGAACCCCCCUUUGUGAUAUACCCUCUAGGAGGAGGUCACCUGAUAUAAGAGAAGGACCUCGUAGAUGCAUUCGUGAACCUGGGUCCGAAUUGGUUGGACUGCGACACGGUGAAACGUCUACGAGGACUUUUGAAGACGAGACCAUGGAUCCAAUAUAUGCACACCCUCAGCCUCCAUUUGAAGUAGAUAGGCCUCCUUUUAUCCAAGACCAAAGGAACUUCCCUAUUCAAAGGAAAAGUUUUCCCAGAGUUGAUUCUAGAUCUCCAGGACGGUUCAGAGGACGCCCUCCUGGCCAAUGGUUUCCAUCCAAAAGAAAGUCCGACAGGUUUUUUGGACAUUCAGAAAUGGCUUGUCGAAGUCCGACAGGUUACGGGAUGAGAUCUCCUUAUCAAUCUCCACCUAUUGAUCGAGAUCUGCCAAUUCAAAGACGGAGUUUCUUAGUUUCGCCACUGCCUUGGUAUGGAUUUUGCUCGCGACCACGAACAUAGGAACUGAACUGACAGAAUCUCCUUUAGAAACAGGAGGUUUGAAGAUAUGGAUCCUCAAGAUAGGAUAGAGGGCGGUGAAUACUUUGAUGGGUCUGUCGAACCGAUUUGUGAUGGCAACAGUGACGAUCGAAGAAGGUUUCAUGAAAGAUAUGAACACAUCAAAGACACCAACAUCGGUACCCAUUGCAGCCACAAUGUAACAAUCCUGAUGGUGAAAAUUAUCAUAACAGGUAUUAUGAACGAAAGGCCGACGCCUUUCCGAUACUGUGCUGAUGAUGAACCAGAGUUUCAUGAAAGAGGUAAGUUUAGGGAGAGGGAAUUUGAUUUACCUAGACGAACAGGGAUGAUUGAAGAGCAUGGAGUUGAAGAUUAUAGACAUGCUCGACACUCGGAAUGAACAUACUAGGUUCAGGUCGGUCGGGUUGAAAUAUUUGUUAGACCCAAUAUAAUUAUUCGAGUUUGACUCAACUCAACUUGAUUGUUU